rnacentral:rRNA from 2 species
AGAGUUUGAUCCUGGCUCAGGAUGAACGCUGGCGGCGUGCCUAAUACAUGCAAGUCGAGCGAACGGACGAGAAGCUUGCUUCUCUGAUGUUAGCGGCGGACGGGUGAGUAACACGUGGAUAACCUACCUAUAAGACUGGGAUAACUUCGGGAAACCGGAGCUAAUACCGGAUAAUAUUUUGAACCGCAUGGUUCAAAAGUGAAAGACGGUCUUGCUGUCACUUAUAGAUGGAUCCGCGCUGCAUUAGCUAGUUGGUAAGGUAACGGCUUACCAAGGCAACGAUGCAUAGCCGACCUGAGAGGGUGAUCGGCCACACUGGAACUGAGACACGGUCCAGACUCCUACGGGAGGCAGCAGUAGGGAAUCUUCCGCAAUGGGCGAAAGCCUGACGGAGCAACGCCGCGUGAGUGAUGAAGGUCUUCGGAUCGUAAAACUCUGUUAUUAGGGAAGAACAUAUGUGUAAGUAACUGUGCACAUCUUGACGGUACCUAAUCAGAAAGCCACGGCUAACUACGUGCCAGCAGCCGCGGUAAUACGUAGGUGGCAAGCGUUAUCCGGAAUUAUUGGGCGUAAAGCGCGCGUAGGCGGUUUUUUAAGUCUGAUGUGAAAGCCCACGGCUCAACCGUGGAGGGUCAUUGGAAACUGGAAAACUUGAGUGCAGAAGAGGAAAGUGGAAUUCCAUGUGUAGCGGUGAAAUGCGCAGAGAUAUGGAGGAACACCAGUGGCGAAGGCGACUUUCUGGUCUGUAACUGACGCUGAUGUGCGAAAGCGUGGGGAUCAAACAGGAUUAGAUACCCUGGUAGUCCACGCCGUAAACGAUGAGUGCUAAGUGUUAGGGGGUUUCCGCCCCUUAGUGCUGCAGCUAACGCAUUAAGCACUCCGCCUGGGGAGUACGACCGCAAGGUUGAAACUCAAAGGAAUUGACGGGGACCCGCACAAGCGGUGGAGCAUGUGGUUUAAUUCGAAGCAACGCGAAGAACCUUACCAAAUCUUGACAUCCUUUGACAACUCUAGAGAUAGAGCCUUCCCCUUCGGGGGACAAAGUGACAGGGGGUGCAUGGUUGUCGUCAGCUCGUGUCGUGAGAUGUUGGGUUAAGUCCCGCAACGAGCGCAACCCUUAAGCUUAGUUGCCAUCAUUAAGUUGGGCACU